rnacentral:lncRNA from 1 species
CUGAGUAUCAAUCCGUUUUAUUUGGUUAGAAAGAUUUCAUUUUAAAAAAGAAGUUUCACUGCAGAAGAGGAUUAGUGAUUGAAGACUCACCAAAAAAUCCAAGGAAUACGGGAUGAAUAACACUAGAAUGGGUCAAAGUAAAGAAAAACUGGUUUAGGAACCUGAGAAAGGAAAAUCUGUGUGCAGAGGAGGGGAGUUUAUUUAAUUAAAGAGUGUUUGUGUCAUGUGUAUGGGAGGGUAUGUGUAUGUGUAGGGAGGGUAGAAACAACCGAAGCUCUCAGUACAAGCAAUAAGUAGGUGGACACUUGAUAGAGAUAUUUGGAGAGAAAAAACAGGUGAGGAUAAGGAUGUCAGAAAUGCAUCAGUAUCAGGAAGCACGUGAUUCUCAGCAGAGACAGAGCUCUUCCCACUUAAGGAAACAGGCUACAUCAGAACUAACGACUUCCCACCUCUGGGUGGGGUGAGAUCCAUCUCAGGAGGCAAGU